UGGUUAUUUUAUUUUUAAAUUUUUUUUUUAAAAAAAUCUAGUUUAAUAAUAAAUUAUUUUAACAGUAUUUUUAKYUAUAUUHUAAUUUUUUUUAAUAAAAAAUUUGUUAGUACCUUUGGUAUCAGGGUUAAUUAAUUUUGUUAAUAUAUAUUUUUAUCCCGAAAUUAAAAGGUCAACUAGUAAAURAUUUURUUUGUUUUAUAAAAUAAUUUAAUUUUUUAGUUGUAAAUAUAUUUUCUUCGAUUUUUAUUAUAUCUGGUUAUUUAGGAAUAAAUUAAAUUUUUAAGACUUUAGUUUUUCUUAUAUYUAAUAAGGGUUAAUCUUUAUUAUUUUUUAUAAUUUUUUUUAUAYCAUUUUUAUUAAUUUUUAAAUUUUAUAUUUAGUUAUUAAUAUAUUUAAAUGAAUUUUUUAUUGAUUUGAUUUUAUUUAAUUUUUUACUAAAUUUAUUUAUAAAAUUUCAUUAUAAUUUAAAUUUUGAUUUAAUUAGUAAAAUUUUAUUUUAAAAUUUAAUGAAUUCGGCAUAUUUAAUUUUCAACUGUUUAUCAAAAACAUUUUUUUUAGAUUAUAUUAAAAAUAUAUUCUGCCCUAUGAAUAUUUAAAUGGCUGCAGUAUUUUGACUGUACAAAGGUAGCAUAAUAAUUAGUUUUUUAAUUGAGGACUGGAAUGAAAGAUUAAAUGAGAGAUUAACUUUAUUAUUUUUAAAUUUUGAAUUUUAUUUUUAAGUAAAAAAGCUUAAGUUUUUUUUUGGGACGAAAAGACCCUAUAGAACUUUACUUUUUUHWAAAAAUUUAUUUUAAAUUUUUAUUUAUAUUUUUWAAAUYUUGUUUUACUGGGGUGGUAGUUAAAUAACUCUUUAAUUUUUWUUUUCAUUWAUUUAUGUUUAUUUUGAAUUAAUUUAUUUAAUCACAAGAAAAAGUUACCUUAGGGAUAACAGCGUAAUUUAUAUGGAGAGUUCAYAUCUAUAUAURAGUUUGCGACCUCGAUGUUGAAUUAAGAUAARUUAAGGAAGAAGUAUUUUUUAUAUUAAGUCUGUUCGACUUUUAAAUUCUUACAUGAUUUGAGUUCAAACCGGUGUAAGCCAGGUUGGUUUCUAUCUUAAGAUUUYUUUUUUAUUUCAGUACGAAAGGACCAAUUAAAUUGUUUAAAAUAUUUGCUUUAAA
rnacentral:rRNA from 1 species